GGCUCGGUAGCUUAGUUGGUAAAGCACCUGUCUAGCCCGUAAGGGUCGGGAGUUCAAAUCUCACCUGGGCAG
rnacentral:tRNA from 1 species